GUGAAGGGUGAUUGUAAUGUAUGGCGUGAUGUUACGUCUGAAGAAAUAAAAGACACGAACAAUAAGAUAAAGGGGAGAGAUAGAUACAUUAGUAAAUGUGAUUUAAUUAAAACAUGAAGUACACCUGACUGAACAAAGUUACUAAAAACCAGUGAGGAAAUGAGAUCUGUGGAGAAAGAACUUGUCAAGUUAAAACAAUCCCUGUCCAGGAAUGAGAAUAGGGAUAGGAAUAUGGCGGGUCAGGUGAGACAGAAGAUACAGUCCAUGGAGAGAUAUCUUGAACGAUUAAAAACCUCCGAGUCUACCAUGCAAACACAUCAACAAAAACGAAAUGAUCAUAAAAAACUUACUGUGUUUUGACAAAAAGUUUUAUUUAAUUAAUAAGAUAAAUUGUUACAUUUUUUUUUUAUCUGUCAUGAAAUAAAAUACAGAAAUCUAACCACAA